ACCAGCAGCUAUAUCACUCUGCAACUCACAACUGGCAACCCACUGAAGCUAAGCAGGUGUGAGCCUGGUCAGUACCUGGAUGGGAGACCUCCUGGGAAAAACUAAGGUUGCUGCUGGAA
ensembl:rRNA 5S_rRNA 5S ribosomal RNA